GACGAACGCUGGCGGCGUGCUUAACACAUGCAAGUCGAGCGGAAAGGCCCUUCGGGGUCCUCGAGCGGCGAACGGGUGAGUAACACGUGAGUAACCUGCCCCAGACUUUGGGAUAACCCUCGGAAACGGGGGCUAAUACCGGAUACGACACAGCUUCGCAUGGGGUCUGUGUGGAAAGUUUUUCGGUUUGGGAUGGGCUCGCGGCCUAUCAGCUUGUUGGUGGGGUGAUGGCCUACCAAGGCGACGACGGGUAGCCGGCCUGAGAGGGCGACCGGCCACACUGGGACUGAGACACGGCCCAGACUCCUUCGGGAGGCAGCAGUGGGGAAUAUUGCACAAUGGGCGGAAGCCUGAUGCAGCGACGCCGCGUGAGGGAUGACGGCCUUCGGGUUGUAAACCUCUUUCAGCAGGGACGAAGCGUAAGUGACGGUACCUGCAGAAGAAGCGCCGGCCAACUACGUG
rnacentral:rRNA from 1 species